CCUACGGGCGGCAGCAGUCGAGAAUCAUUCACAAUGGGGGAAACCCUGAUGGUGCGACGCCGCGUGGGGGAAUGAAGGUCUUCGGAUUGUAAACCCCUGUCAUGUGGGAGCAAAUUAAAAAGAUAGUACCACAAGAGGAAGAGACGGCUAACUCUGUGCCAGCAGCCGCGGUAAUACAGAGGUCUCAAGCGUUGUUCGGAAUCACUGGGCGUAAAGCGUGCGUAGGCUGUUUCGUAAGUCGUGUGUGAAAGGCGCGGGCUCAACCCGCGGACGGCACAUGAUACUGGGAGACUAGAGGAAUGGAGGGGGAACCGGAAUUCUCGGUGUAGCAGGGAAAUGCGUAGAUAUCGAGAAGAACACUCGUGGCGAAGGCGGGUUCCUGGACAUUAACUGACGCUGAGGCACGAAGGCCAGGGGAGCGAAAGGGAUUAGAUACCCUUGUAGUC
rnacentral:rRNA from 1 species